CCCAGGGUAGCCUAGUGGACAUGGCAUCUGCCCGGUAAGCGUAACACUGUGGGUUCGAUUCCCAUCCCUGGACA